CCGAGUUAUACAACUCCCAAACCCACUGUGAACCUUACCUCUACGUUGCUUCGGCGGGACCGCCCCGGGACACCUGUGCCCCGGAUCCAGGCGCCCGCCGGGGGACCCAAAACUCUCAUGUUUACCAUAGCGGAAUUUCUUCUGAGUGGCCCUUUGCGGCAAACAAAUGAAUCA
rnacentral:misc_RNA from 1 species